GUGGGGAAUAUUGGACAAUGGGGGGAACCCUGAUCCAGCCAUGCCGCGUGUGUGAAGAAGGCCUUUUGGUUGUAAAGCACUUUAAGCGAGGAGGAGGCUACCGAGAUUAAUACUCUUGGAUAGUGGACGUUACUCGCAGAAUAAGCACCGGCUAACUCUGUGCCAGCAGCCGCGGUAAUACAGAGGGUGCAAGCGUUAAUCGGAUUUACUGGGCGUAAAGCGCGCGUAGGUGGCCAAUUAAGUCAAAUGUGAAAUCCCCGAGCUUAACUUGGGAAUUGGAUUCGAUACUGGUUGGCUAGAGUAUGGGAGAGGAUGGUAGAAUUCCAGGUGUAGCGGUGAAAUGCGUAGAGAUCUGGAGGAAUACCGAUGGCGAAGGCAGCCAUCUGGCCUAAUACUGACACUGAGGUGCGAAAGCAUGGGGAGCAAACAGGAUUAGAAACCCGAGUAGUCC
rnacentral:rRNA from 1 species